AUGUCUGCACAAUUUUUUUGUUUUCUAUUUACAGAGCCUGGACUGAGCCAAAAACCUGGAUUUAUUUUUGCCGAACACAAAAGUGAUGGCAAACGGACGCUGCGGCUUCAUCUGGUGUUUGACAGGACUGAGGAAGCUUCACUUCAGCAGCGAGUGAUUGGAAAUAAGCAGAUGAGCUGCCUGCUUCCAUUACACAAACCACGUCACCAGUCGGCCUUGCAGCAUCAACGUGGGUUGGUGAUUUACUGUUUCCCAGAAGGACUUUCAACACCCCACAGAGAGGGAUACAUCAUAGCUGCAUCUCAUUCCUCUCAUUUUAUAUCUCCCACAACCUCCGGUCUCAUGUGGUCUGGAAAUCGAUCAAGGUCUUCCAUCAUUAAGAGUACAUCACACCAAUCGGCAACACCCAUGUUCCAAGGUUUAAAGAACCAUGUAUUUUGGAGUGCAACCUCUUUGACCUCAGGGCCUGAGAAGGUGGCCAAGUGGACUUCACUGUUUAACAACAUUCAAAACAUCUAUGGGCAUGAAGACCCCCUCUUCCCCAAAGACAAAGAAGGGGGAAGCCACCACAAAGCCUGUUAA
rnacentral:lncRNA from 1 species